rnacentral:rRNA from 1 species
UACGUAAGGUGCGAGCGUUAAUCGGAAUUACUGGGCGUAAAGCGUGCGCAGGCGGUUUUGUAAGCCAGGUGUGAAAUCCCCGGGCUCAACCUGGGAAUGGCAUUUGGGACUGCAAGGCUGGAGUGCGGCAGAGGAGACUGGAAUUCCUGGUGUAGCAGUGAAAUGCGUAGAUAUCAGGAGGAACACCGAUGGCGAAGGCAGGUCUCUGGGCUGACACUGACGCUCAUGCACGAAAGCGUGGGGAGCAAACAGG